GAUGAACGCUGGCGGCGUGCCUAAUACAUGCAAGUCGAGCGAACAGACGAGGAGCUUGCUCCUCUGACGUUAGCGGCGGACGGGUGAGUAACACGUGGAUAACCUACCUAUAAGACUGGGAUAACUUCGGGAAACCGGAGCUAAUACCGGAUAAUCUAUUGAACCGCAUGGUUCAAUAGUGAAAGACGGUUUUGCUGUCACUUAUAGAUGGAUCCGCGCCGCAUUAGCUAGUUGGUAAGGUAACGGCUUACCAAGGCAACGAUGCGUAGCCGACCUGAGAGGGUGAUCGGCCACACUGGAACUGAGACACGGUCCAGACUCCUACGGGAGGCAGCAGUAGGGAAUCUUCCGCAAUGGGCGAAAGCCUGACGGAGCAACGCCGCGUGAGUGAUGAAGGUCUUCGGAUCGUAAAACUCUGUUAUUAGGGAAGAACAAAUGUGUAAGUACCUAUGCACGUCUUGACGGUACCUAAUCAGAAAGCCACGGCUAACUACGUG
rnacentral:rRNA from 1 species